rnacentral:rRNA from 1 species
CAGCCGCCACGGUAAUACGAAGGGUGCAAGCGUUACUCGGAAUUACUGGGCGUAAAGCGUGCGUAGGUGGUGGUUUAAGUCCGUUGUGAAAGCCCUGGGCUCAACCUGGGAAUUGCAGUGGAUACUGGAUCACUAGAGUGUGGUAGAGGAUAGUGGAAUUUCCGGUGUAGCAGUGAAAUGCGUAGAGAUCGGAAGGAACAUCUGUGGCGAAGGCGACUAUCUGGGCCAACACUGACACUGAGGCACGAAAGCGUGGGGAGCAAACAGGAUUAGAUACCCCGGUAGUCCCUGUCUCUUAUAC